rnacentral:lncRNA from 1 species
CUGUAAACAACAAUUUUGGCAGCAAAGUACAGUACCAGUGGUGGGGAGGUAGAGAUUCCAUGUCUUAGAGGAGCUGCACAUCAUUUUGUGAAAUGCCUGAGGUUUUAUCCAGUUCUCCUCUUAGAGAUCCAGUGGAGCUAAAUGAGUGAUCCAUUCCGGCUCACGUGGCUGAUGUUGCAUGGACUGAUGGAGGCACAGCAUGAAGCAGAACAGAAACUCAAGAAUAAGAGAAGAAUUACUAAGAACUCAGUAUUUUCUUCUAGCUGCUGGCUCUCCUACCACACCAAUGUCCUGUUGUAUUAAGAGGCUACACAUCUGUGCCUGUCUAACACACCUGCUAGACCUCUUGAGAGAUAUGAUUAUAUUAAUUACAAUAUAUUGAUUGAUUUCUACUUUACACGGACUGCCUGUAUUUAAUUUAAAUAUACAAUGAAGCAUAUUGAGGACACAAUUUGGAUUGUUACUGUGAUAAAUAAUUGCUAAUUGUGUCAUGAUAGAUCACCUAU